rnacentral:lncRNA from 1 species
GACACUCUUCAGCUUCUAGACCCGAAAUAAUCCCUCUCUGGCAAUCAAGGUGGGAUUUGUUAAAAGCCGUGACCCAUGAAGGAGAAUCAAGUAAAUCAAUGGAAGAAUCAUCAGCAAUUCAUCUCUGACAUGGCAAGUUUGAGAGAUGAGAUAUGAGAGACAGAAAGCAUGGAAGAUUGGAAGAGAAGAAGACAAAUUUUACUCAAAUGUUGAAAGGAAAUAUUAAAGCUUUACCUGUAAUCUUUACUUUUCCUUCACGUUGAGAGAUGAGAGACAAAGAGAGCAUUGGGGCUGUGAAUGAAGGGACCCUUCAAUGUGAAAGCAUUCAAAGACUUAAACAAGGGAGAGGGCGGCUGUG